rnacentral:rRNA from 1 species
GCACAAGCAGUGGAGUAUGUGGUUUAAUUCGAAGCAACGCGAAAAACCUUACCAGGUCUUGACAUCCAUCGCCAGGCUAAGAGAUUAGCUGUUCCCUCCGGGGACGAUGAGACAGGUGGUGCAUGGUUGUCGUCAGCUCGUGUCGUGAGAUGUUGGGUUAAGUCCCGCAACGAGCGCAACCCUUACUAUUAGUUGCUACGCAAGAGCACUCUAAUGGGACUGCCGUUGACAAAA